CAGGCCCAGAUGGCUUUCCAAGUGAGUUAUAUAAAGAGAUAGGAGAUGUACUAGAAAAUGUGUUGCUAGAGAUCUGCAAUGAGGUAUUACUGGAAGCUAAAAUUCCAGAAUCAUGGAAGGAUGCUUAUAUUAGAUUAAUCCCUAAAGAGGGUGUAGAUGCCAAUCAAAUAAAGAAUUAUAGACCAAUAUCUCUUCUAAAUUCAGACUAUAAAAUUUUCAUGACUGUAAUGGCAGAAAGAUUAAAGAAAGCAAUCAAUGACAAAAUUCAUCCUGACCAAAACGGAUUCCUUCCCAUGAGACAGAUUAGAUAUAAUACGAGAAUGAUAAUAGAUAUAUUAGAAUUUUAUGAACUGCACCCAGGAAACCAAGUGGCCCUUGUCUUCCUGGAUGCGCAAAAGGCCUUUGAUAAUCUUAAUUGGGAUUUCAUGAAAUACCAGAUUAAUCUGAUGAAAUAUGGGGUGAACUUUUUAAGA